rnacentral:lncRNA from 1 species
GGACAGAAAGCAGUAAAAGUAUCUGAGAAGAGCCCAGGAUGGGCCAAUUCUGACUCUUCCUUAGACCUGGGGUUACAGUUGAUACUAAUUCUGGAGAAAGCCCGUUUCCUUCAGCCUCUCCAUUUGGAGACCACCUCUCCUUAAAGAAACCUCCCCUUGGAGAGAAUUUUAGUUAAGCCCUCACAUAGGCUCUUACCUGAACGUUGUGAAUGAGCUUCGGGGGCCUUGCUUUUGGGAGAAGUCUUUGGCAAAAAUCUUUCUGAAAUAAGGUGUAGUUUUUGUCUGGUACCCCAAGGUUCUCCAUCCUGAAACUUCCAGACUUGGCAAGCAGUUCUUUGGGCAGAUAAAGUUGGAAUGAUUUUUGCACACCUGUUCCCAGAAGUGCAGAGCUGUUUCUUUCGCGGGCCACUGCUGGUAAGAAUUUGAUUGGUAGUCUCCUUUAUUCUUGUCACCCUGCAAAUCUCCAAACCUUUCCUUGUGCACCUGUGAGAGUGACAGAGAAGGAAUGCCAGUCACAAAGCUAUUUUACUUCCUGUUUCAGAAUGUGCCAGCCCACAUUAGUGACCUAGGGUCUCAGUGCUUGGCCUUGGUUAAAGUGGAACACAGUGUGCUGCCCGGAGGCUGUGCAGGGCUUCCUGAAAGAGCCGCACUGGGCUGAGGAAGUUGCUUCAGGGCCCAUUCUCUGAGGUUAGAAUCACAAUCCCCGGGUCUCUUUCCUUUCCUCCCUUUUUUUUUUUUUUUUUUUUUUUUUGCCUGUAUAAAGGAAGAGUGGUAUUUGCAGCUCAGGGACAGAUUCUC